rnacentral:rRNA from 1 species
AUUGAACGCUGGCGGCGUGCUUAACACAUGCAAGUCGAACGGAAAGGCCAGUGCUUGCACUGGUACUCGAGUGGCGAACGGGUGAGUAACACGUGGGUGAUCUGCCCUGCACUUCGGGAUAAGCCUGGGAAACUGGGUCUAAUACCGGAUAGGACCACAUUUUGGAUGGUGUGGUGGAAAGUUUUUCGGUGUGGGAUGAGCUCGCGGCCUAUCAGCUUGUUGGUGGGGUAAUGGCCUACCAAGGUGUCGACGGGUAGCCGGCCUGAGAGGGUGUACGGCCACAUUGGGACUGAGAUACGGCCCAGACUCCUACGGGAGGCAGCAGUGGGGAAUAUUGCACAAUGGGCGCAAGCCUGAUGCAGCGACGCCGCGUGGGGGAUGACGGCCUUCGGGUUGUAAACUCCUUUCGCUAGGGACGAAGCGUAUUUGUGACGGUACCUGGAGAAGAAGCACCGGCUAACUACGUGCCAGCAGCCGCCGUAA